ACCACAAGCAGCUCAUCCUGGCCCUUCCUGUGGAUGUCACAAGAAAACAGACCAUGGGGCAGAAAGGGAAGUUGGCAGGACUGGAGACGAGCUGCCAGAAAGUGGUACCUGGGGCAUGUCUCCUGAGCCUUCAGCUUCCAUGGAGGAAAUGCACUGAGUGACAGAAUUACUUUGUUGCUGAACUGCUGCCCAGCCACUGCUAAAUAGGACAUGGAUGGGAGGACUGGAGCAGUAGGCUUUUCUGUGCCCUUUCACCCCUGAAUCCCAUGAAAAUUGUGAAUGUGUCCAAAUGGCUUAUCAAGUACACCAGAAACUUACAAAAAGGGACGUAUUUAGGAUCCUGUCUUGUGUGAAGAAUAUGAACCCAGGAUCUCACAGGAUUACAGAGCCAAUUAAUCUCUAAACCAGUUGAUCC